CCUAUGUAUGUCUUGAGUACUUCUAUUUUUCCCAAUCUCUCUUUGCCAGCUGCUGUCUCAGCCCCCGAGAAAGGCUCCUCCAGAAGAAGACACUAGUGGUGGCGCCAUAGCAGCUACCUGGGACCUAAAGUGGAGUUUUUCUCAUGCAUGAAAGCAGUAGACGUUGGGAGCAGGCCUGAGUGGGCUAUUUGUUUUGCUUCCCCUGCCUUGGACUUGGGGUUAUGCUAAGGUUAUCUUGCAGUGAUGCCAGACGGGAUCCGCACAGCCUCUGCCGCUGACUGCUAGUGCCUAUGAACUAAACCUGCAAAGGAGGGUCAUGUAAGCGUUCUUUACACUUCAGAAUAGUCAGCAAUAGUGAGUUCAUCCCUGAACAGUCUUUGGCUGUUGGUGAAAUCAGGGUGAAACUAGCCUCAUUCAGUUAAUGGGGUAUAACUCAUGUAUUGGCAGGACCGCAGUAUUGUAAUUAACAUGUACAUGCACUGGGGAGACAAAGGGGAAGCAGAUGAUCAGCCUA